UACGUAGGGGGCAAGCGUUGUCCGGAUUUAUUGGGCGUAAAGGGCUCGUAGGCGGUUUGUCGCGUCGGGAGUGAAAUCCACUGGCUUAACUGGUGGCUUGCUUUCGAUACGGGCAGACUGGAGGUAUGCAGGGGAGAACGGAAUUCCUGGUGUAGCGGCGAAAUGCGCAGAUAUCAGGAGGAACACCGGUGGCGAAGGCGGUUCUCUGGGCAUGUCCUGACGCUGAGGAGCGAAAGUGUGGGGAGCGAACAGG
rnacentral:rRNA from 1 species